rnacentral:rRNA from 1 species
UACGUAGGGUGCAAGCGUUUGUCCGGAAUUAUUGGGCGUAAAGAGCUCGUAGGCGGUUUGUCGCGUCUGCUGUGAAAUCCCGAGGCUCAACCUCGGGUCUGCAGUGGGUACGGGCAGACUAGAGUGUGGUAGGGGAGACUGGAAUUCCUGGUGUAGCGGUGAAAUGCGCAGAUAUCAGGAGGAACACCGGUGGCGAAGGCGGGUCUCUGGGCCGAUACUGACGCUGGAGGAGCGAAAGCGUGGGGAGCGAACAGG